CGAAAGCCUGACGGAGCAAUACCGCGUGAGGGAGGAAGGCUCUUGGGUCGUAAACCUCUUUUCUCAGGGAAGAAGAAAGUGACGGUACCUGAGGAAUAAGCAUCGGCUAACUCCGUGCCAGCAGCCGCGGUAAUACGGAGGAUGCAAGCGUUAUCCGGAAUGAUUGGGCGUAAAGGGUCCGCAGGUGGCUAUGUAAGUCUGCUGUUAAAGAGUUUGGCUCAACCAGAUAAGAGCAGUGGAAACUACAUAGCUAGAGUGCGUUCGGGGCAGAGGGAAUUCCUGGUGUAGCGGUGAAAUGCGUAGAUAUCAGGAAGAACACCGGUGGCGAAAGCGCUCUGCUAGGCCGCAACUGACACUGAGGGACGAAAGCUAGGGGAGCGAAUGGGAUUAGAUACCCCAGUAGUCCUAGCCGUAAACGAUGGAUACUAGGCGUGGCUUGUAUCGACCCGAGCCGUGCCGUAGCUAACGCGUUAAGUAUCCCGCCUGGGGAGUACGCAGGCAACUGUGAAACUCAAAGGAAUUGACGGGGGCCCGCACAAGCGGUGGAGUAUGUGGUUUAAUUCGAUGCAACGCGAAGAACCUUACCAAGACUUGACAUGUCGUGAAUCUCUUUGAAAGGAGAGAGUGCCUUCGGGAGCGCGAACACAGGUGGUGCAUGGCUGUCGUCAGCUCGUGUCGUGAGAUGUUGGGUUAAGUCCCGCAACGAGCGCAACCCUCGUUUUUAGUUGCCAGCAUUAAGUUGGGCACUCUAGAGAGACUGCCGGUGACAAACCGGAGGAAGGUGAGGAUGACGUCAAGUCAGCAUGCCCCUUACGUCUUGGGCUACACACGUACUACAAUGCUACGGACAAAGGGCAGCUACACAGCGAUGUGAUGCUAAUCUCAUAAACCGUAGCUCAGUUCAGAUCGCAGGCUGCAACUCGCCUGCGUGAAGGAGGAAUCGCUAGUAAUUGCAGGUCAGCAUACUGCAGUGAAUUCGUUCCCGGGCCUUGUACACACCGCCCGUCACACCAUGGAAGUUGGUCACGCCCGAAGUCAUUACCCCAACC
rnacentral:rRNA from 1 species